CUCAAUUCUCAGCCCUUCGACUAAGAUCAAGUAUAAUAUCUGUUCUUAUCAGUUUAAUUUCUGAUAUGUCCUCUAUUCAAGGUCUUAAUUUAAUAUAAAUUGGUUCUAGGUUUUUAUAUUUAUUUUUUUAAAAAACAAAAACAAUGAGAGAGAGUCAAAAUGGG
rnacentral:snRNA from 1 species